UUGUGGUUAAAAAGCUCGUAGUUGGAUCUCGGCGGACUGAGGGCGGUUUGCUUGCUAGUAUUACUGCCCUAUAGUCCGUAGUUUUGCCAGAGGUUUCGGGGUGCUCUUAAUCGAGUGUCCCGGGAUGCUGGCAGGUUUACUUUGAAAAAAUUAGAGUGCUCAAAGCAGGCUAUUACGCCUGAAUAUUCGUGCAUGGAAUAAUAGAAUAGGAAGUCGUUUCUAUUUUGUUGGUUUUCGGAAAUCGACUUAAUGAUUAAUUGGGACAGUCGGGGGCAUUUGUAUUCAAACGACAGAGGUGAAAUUCUUGGACCGUUUGAAGACAAACUACUGCGAAAGCAUUUGCCAAGAAUGUUUUCAUUAAUCAAGAACGAAAGUUAAAGGUUCGAAGGCGAUUAGAUACCGCCCUAGUUUUAACCAUAAACGAUGCCAGCUAGCGAUCUGCGGACGUUUUUUUUGUAGACUCCGCAGGAAGCUUCCGGGAAACCAAAGCAUUUGGGUUCCAGGGGAAGUAUGGUUGCAAAGCUGAAACUUAAAGGAAUUGACGGAAGGGCACCACCAGGAGUGGAGCCUGUGGCUUAAUUUGACUCAACACGGGAAAUCUC
rnacentral:rRNA from 1 species